ensembl:lncRNA
AACCUGCCGGCUCCCAUCCCACAACGUAGAGCUACUUCCGGUGGGGCUCCGUCACUCAAAUGGAGAAGAACCAGCACCAACAUGGGAGGCUUCCCAUGUUACAUAAGGAUCAACAGGAGAAGCCGGGCAGCAGAGGCUCGUGUGAUAAGAGAGGCAGGAAGCAAGAGCUUCCAUGGGAAUGGCGUGGUUUCAUCUCCUGGAUGCAGUCAUGGCAGCUAAGACAGAAUCAUCAUUCUCAGUUGAAUAGCAUCAAAAGACCAGACCAAACACCUUUCCAGUCUAAUCUUUCUGCACAGUGGCCAACUAUAAGUUGAUGUCAGUGAGAAGGUUGAACAAAGCAACAACCUCUCAGGUUCCUGAAGUAAUGGAGUCUACAGGCAUAUUGCCUCCGGUGAAAAUAAUAUGUAUCCAUCUGGACAAGAUGCCGUGCAUUACUUUAUUUCUCAUGAAGCUUGCUAAAAUGACCUUGUGCUAAUCAAAGUCUUUUAACUUGCAUUGACAAUGCAUGAUACCAUGUGUAUUCUACUACUGGUCUCCCCCCCACCCCAAAAAUAAAUAAAUAAAUAAAUAAAUAAAAAAUAAAUAGCAAAUCUGUGCAAUUCUGCUACUGAACCACGGUGUGAUAGUGAAGGUGUUCAACUGGGCAUGUAUGCAUUCUCGACUGUAGUGGAAUAGUAGAUUGGUGUGAUAAAGUCCUUUAUCCACCCCACAAAUUUGUUGCUUUGAAAAAAUAGGAAGGAAAAAAAACAAGAUAUGAGUAACUAAACAGAAAUGACUUCAUCACUUCUUUACUGGUAUACCAAGCAUAAAGAGAGAUGUACACUCUGCAUUCUUUGAUCUGAAAACAAACCCUCGCUGUGCAAUGAAUGGGUCUUUGGACACUGUAGCUCAGCAUGGGACAUAAUCAUGUCUGAAGGAAAGAAAUAUGGGCAGGGGGGAUUGUGAAGGCAGAAACAUGGAAUUUUUUUUAUCAAACUCCUAAAAGAAGGGUAUAUCAAUUGUUUAAUGGCUGUUCUAGGGAGAUGUCUACAAUUUGAGUAAAAUCAGGAAAAUGUCUCAUUAUCUCAGAGCUUCAUUUUGUGCUUAGUUAUCCUCCUGUAAAUGUGGGUUAGUGCCAAUUAAAAAAAAGGAAUUUCCAUAUUGUAGUAGCUGGCCAAAGAAGGUAAAUUGGUCAUUCUUAAUAACAGUUCAAGCAUAAAAUUAAUACUUACAUGAAAUGCAUAUGGAGAGGUUUCUAGGGAUUUGCAUUACUAGAAGAGGCUCACAACCAAAAGUCAGCUGCAAGAUGUUACCUUGUUUAUACAGAUGUCCUCUUGGGUAGUAACCAACUAUUAAUUAGAGAUAUAAAUGCUGAUUUAUGAAAAAGGUCCUGGGUUUACCCUGCAACCUUCGUUAACUGGGAAAGUUGUACAUACUAUUUCUAUAUUGUGGCCUGAUGGCCAACCUAUGUAAUUUAAAGGAUGGAUAUUAAUGCAUUAAGUGCAUGCAGCACAUUUCAGCCACAACAGCCUGCUAAGAUUUGAGCAGUAUAAUUUAGAAUUGAUGAAGUGGACAAUACUGUAAACUUGGCUGUACUAGGUGAUUAUCCUUGGAUUCGAGUGGGGGUGUUUGUCAGCAUUAUCCUGGGGAUGUGUUUAAUGGGAGGAUACAGAGAAAAACAAACACAUUUGGUUUACUAGUAAUGGAAGGAAUUGGUUGAGGACCUCAUAAUUGCUUUUGGGAUAAUUUAUGACCAUGAUUAUACAGUCACAGCCCUAUUUUAAGCCCAAGUUAGAUGAAGUGGUGCAGAAGAGGCUGGUGUGAGAAUUCCCUGUACUAGUACAGACAUGGAAAGGUUGAAAUCCUAAAUCAAACUGUGAAUGACUUUCUAUAUCAAAGUGUGUGGAGUGUAGCUCCAUGCUCUCCAUGCAUCAUCAGUUGUCAAGCCCUGGGUGUACUGCCUCUGCAGUUAUCGAUUAAAGGGAUGAAAGUGAUGAAGGCAGCAUCCAGCUACUAAGGUGAGAGAUCUAGGUCCCCUUUAACAUGGCCUAUAUCCCCAGGAUCUGGUCCCAGAUUUGCUUUUCCCCAGAUUAACUGGCAGUGGAAACUCAUGCAAUUCAGUUCAAAGCAGAUAAUCUGGAAACAGAUCCUGGGAUAUAAGGCAGUGCAGAUCCAGAUUAGAUUUCCAGCAACCUGCUUGGAGCAAAUGUACAUUGUGCAAGGAGCUAGCAUCCAAAACAUCCAGACAUGUAGGAAGUAAUUUGCAAUAGUGUAGUGAACAGAGAGUUAGAAGUCUAACAUUAUCAUAUCAGCCUGCUCUCUUUCCACAAUCACAUUAGUGUAGGGACUGGAUACAUCAUGAUUUUAAAGCAUUCCAUAAUUCACAUCUCUCCAUUAGUGCAAAAAACUGCUUUGUAAAUCUGCCGCCCC